rnacentral:rRNA from 1 species
CCUACGGGAGGCAGCAGUGGGGAAUAUUGGGCAAUGGGCGCAAGCCUGACCCAGCAACGCCGCGUGAAGGAAGAAGGCUUUCGGGUUGUAAACUUCUUUUAAGAGGGAAGAGCAGAAGACGGUACCUCUUGAAUAAGCCACGGCUAACUACGUGCCAGCAGCCGCGGUAAUACGUAGGUGGCAAGCGUUGUCCGGAUUUACUGGGUGUAAAGGGCGUGCAGCCGGGAAGGCAAGUCAGCUGUGAAAUCCCGGGGCUCAACCGCGGAACUGCAUUUGAAACUGGUUUUCUUGAGUACCGGAGAGGUCAUCGGAAUUCCUUGUGUAGCGGUGAAAUGCGUAGAUAUAAGGAAGAACACCAGUGGCGAAGGCGGAUGACUGGACGGCAACUGACGGUGAGGCGCGAAAGCGUGGGGAGCAAACAGGAUUAGAUACCCUAGUAGUC